UUGCGGUUAAAAAGCUCGUAGUUGGAUCUCGGCGGGCAGGGGGUGGUUCGCUCUUCAGCGCUACUGCCCCGCUUUGCCCGUGUAAUUGGCGGAGGUUUCGGGGUGCUCUUCGUUGAGUGACUCGGAGCGCCGUCAGGUUUACUUUGAAAAAAUUAGAGUGCUCAAAGCAGGCUUUUCACGCUUGAAUAUUCGUGCAUGGAAUAAUGGAAUAGGAACUCGUUUCUAUUUUGUUGGUUUUCGGAAAUCGAGUUAAUGAUUAACAGGGACAAUUGGGGGCAUUAGUAUUCAGACGACAGAGGUGUAAUUCUUGGACCGUCUGAAGACUGACUACUGCGAAAGCAUUUGCCAAGAGUGUUUUCAUUAAUCAAGAACGAAAGUUAGAGGUUCGAAGGCGAUCAGAUACCGCCCUAGUUCUAACCAUAAACGAUGCCAGCUAGCGAUCUGCCGAGUUUUUUUUGUAAGGCUCCGCAGGAAGCUUUCCGG
rnacentral:rRNA from 1 species